rnacentral:SRP_RNA from 1 species
GCCUCGUCCUGCGGGGACGGCGGUCGGCGUGGUCACACCUGCAGGGGUGUGCCCGCGCGGUUAACCGGGGGCACUGCGUCAGGCGCGGAAGCGAGCAGCGCACCCCCGGACAGCCCUCGCUCGCAGGGUCGCGGGGUGGAGGAGGCGAGCGGGACUACCCGCGUCCGAACGCCGGGCAACUCUGGUUGUCCACAU